GGCCCCAUCGUUUAGUGGCCUAGGACGCUGCCCUUUCACGGCAGUAGCACGGGUUCGAAUCCCGUUGGGGUCACCA
rnacentral:tRNA from 6 species